UUCCACGGAUGUCAACAAGCAGUCUGCGCAGGCGCGGAGGGAGAGGUCACGUGGUGCUGGGACUGUUUGUAAAGAUACUGACUGUAUGGUGCUUGUGUCCUAGGAGAGGGUCUGCCUGAUGCAGUGUGGUAAAGUUUGGAGGGUUAAGUUAGAUGUGAGAGCAAAGGGAUCUGAAGGGGGUGGACACACAGAUUACUGAGAGUUACCUCAGGAGCCACUCGGUACUGCUGUUCUGACAAAACUGGUUUAGAGCCAAGGAGGCAUGAAGGUCAGGGUCACCAUGGUCAGAGGUUCAAGACCUAAAAGUCAAACCUAUGAUCAGAGAGUCCUGAGAUGAAGACUGAAGUUGGAAGGCCAAUGCCUGCGAGACUGAAAGUGUAGAGCUGAGGACUGGAGGCCGGGAGGCAGCUUAUCAGAGACUGGUUUCCAUAGAUCCUAUUGUGUUUCUUUGUAUUUACUGUGAUUGCCCGCAAGAACUUAAAUCUCAGGUGGCAUAAUGGUGACAUAAAUGUACUUUGGAGGAUGAAGUCAGAGGUCCAUGAGCCAGUUUUCAUUAUGGGAACAGAGGUGGAGAGGGUCAGUAGUUCUAAAUUCCUUAGUGUUAACAUAUUCCUCUGUCAGCAUAUCCAUGGAUCUGUCCUGGGGCCAGCACAAAAGUGUCUUCACAAAGUAGGCACAACUUUCUUAGAAGUUUGUGAGUUAUGGACUCCCUGUGUGCGCCAAGCAAGGUGGCAGCAGCACGUUACAGUAGCUCUGAGUGUUUGUUUGUCUUGACGUUAUUUAGCAUGUCCUUUUGUUUGUUUUUGUACCGGCUAGCAGCACUGCAAAAUAACAAUGGACAGUAAUCUGUUUAAGAACAUUUUCAUCAUUCUUCUGGCUCUCAGGAUACCCUAGUGCUGUGACCACAGUAGUGGAAGCAAUGUUGUAUAUACAAGGGAACAGCUACCAACAGCCUUUGUUUGCCCAGCAGAAGCUCGAUAUUCCGGAGGAGCUGAGACAGAGAUACCAAGGCUAUAGACCGGGUGAAAAUGAUGUAUCAAGAGACAGAGAUAUAAACCAUAUCUCCUGCCUAUCAUUAUGGGGAACAUAAGAUUGCAGGCAAAUAAAAUGGAGGAACUAUCAAUACUCAUGAGGACGCAGAACGAGUACAGGGAAUGCAGCAUUAUGUGUUUCACUGAGACAUGGCAACACAAUCAAAUCCCGGAUUACAAUGCUACUGUGAAUAGGUUUUCAAUGCUACGAGCAGACAGAAUUAACCUACAGUGUGGCAAGAGAAAGGGAGGUGGGCUUGCUGUGCUUGUGAACAGCAGAUGGUGUAAUCCUGGUCACAUUUCUGUGAAAGGACGAACCUGCAGUCUGGACAUCGACCUGCUUGCUAUGAGUUUACAUCCGUGUUAUCAACCGCGCGAGUUCAGCCACGCCAUAUUGCUCAUGUCUACGUUCCGCAUUUCCAAUGCUGCAUGUGAUGUCAUACGCAUUACGAUGGCGAGACUCCAGACUCAACACCCCAAUGCAUUCAUUGCAGUAUCGGGAGACUUCAGCCACAUUUCUCUCUCGACAACCCUACCCACCUUCGAUCAGUUUGUCAAGUAUCAGACAAAAGAAAAUAAAACCAGAUCUCUUGUAUGCAAAUGUAACGAUGCAUACUGCUCCACAGCUCUCCCCCCUCCCCCCACUAGGAAGAUCAGAUCACAACCCGGUUCACUUCAUGCCCUUGAAUAAGCUCAGAGUACAGUAGCAGCUAACUACCACCAAGACAGUAAAGAAAUGGUCUCCAGCGGCCAUCGAGGCCUUCAAGGGCUGCUGUGAGGUUACUGACUGGAAUGUGCUUUGUAAACCAUAUGGGGGAGAGUAUUAACGGGCUUACUGAUUGCAUCACUGGCUACAUCAGCUUCUGUGUGGACACUGUAAUACCAUCAAGGACUGUUUGCUGCUUCCCCAACAACAAACCACGGGUCACCAGAGAUCUAAAGGUUCUUCUCAACCACAAAAAGAGAGCCUUUCGAUCAGGAGACAGGGAGGAAUUGGAAAAUGUGCCAAUGGAGCUAAAGGAGGAGGUCAAAGUGGCAAAAGAGUAAUACAGGAGAGAGCUGGAGGAUAAACUUGGGCAGAGUAGCACAUGGGAGGUGUGGAGAGACAUGAAGAACAUCCUGUAGAGCUUUGGAAUGCAGCUGUGAAUAGGCUAAUGAGUUAAACCAAUUCUUCAAUGGUUUGAUAAUUGCCCUCCUGUUCACACCCCUCUCAGCACACUAGUUCAGGUGCCAAGGCACCCAAUACUCUCUCAGCAACAACGGCUCCCCUCCUCUCUCCUCCAGUUCAACAUGUGGGUGAACAACACAGGCUACCUCUGCCAACAUCCCCUCCUUCCCCUGCACCUUCCAUUCAAACUUCGACAUACCAACUACCAUUGUUCUGAUCUGUACCUCCCCAGCCCCACCUUCCACCAGCUCCCCAGGCAUCAUGGACUCACCCUCACUACCGAGCGGGUGAGAAGGGCUCUGGGGAAACUCAGACACGGCAAAGCAUCGGGACCGGAUGGUGUGAACCCCAGGGUCCUGAGGGAGUGUGCUGAGCAGCUGUGUGGAGUUCUCCAGUGCAUUUUCAAUCCGAGUCUCAGCCUGGAAAGGGUCCUGGCUCUGUGGAAAACAUCAUGUGUGGUCCCAGUACCCAAGAAAAGCAACUGAAAGUCUUGAAUGACUACCGUCCAGUGGCCCUGACCUCACACAUGAAGACCCUAGAGAAGCUGGUCCUGGCUCACCUCCGACCCCUGGUCAGAUCAGCCCUCGGUCCCCUGCAGUUUGCCUGCCAGGAGCACAUUGGAGUGCUGUCAUCUACCUGCUGAACAGAGCUGACUCUCAUUGGAUAAGCAGGUCAGCACUGUGAGGAUCAUGAUUUUUUGAUUUUCCUCGUACCUUCAAUACCUACAGCCCUCAUUGCUGGGGGAAAGGCUCCGUUCAGUGCAGGCUGGCACUUCCAUUGUGUCCUGGAUAAUGGACUACCUGCCUGGCAGACCACAGUUUGUGUGGCUUCAGAGCCGUGUGUCAGACGUGGCUAUAGUCAGCACUGGGGCCCCACAGGGGACUGUAUUGACUCCCUUCCUGUUUACCCUGUACACCUCAGACUUUAGAUACAACACUGAGUCAUAUCAUCUGUAGAAAUUCUCUGAUGGCUCAGCAACAGUUGGGUGUAUAAGCGGAAGUCAGGAGAUGAACACAGGGCCCUGGUGGAGGACUUUGUCAAAUGUUGCAAGCUGAAUCAUCUGCAGCUCAACAAAGUAAGACAAAGGAGGUGGUGAUGGACUUUUGGAAGACCAGGCCUGCACUGCUCCCUGUUACUAUUGAUGGUGAGGAUGUUGAUGUUGUGAGGAACUACAAGUACCUGGGGGUUCACCUGGAUGACAGUCUUGAGUGGAGCACCAACACAGAGUCUGUGUAUAAGAAGGGCCAGAGUCACUUCUACUUCCUGAGGAGACUGAGGUCCUCUGGAGUGCGCAGGCCUCUCUUUUGUAUGUGCUACCAAUGUGUUGUUGCCAGUACAAUCUUCUUUGGGGCAAUGACAUCAACAUGGGAGAGCAGUCUGCGUCACCACCCUCCUUUAUGGCUGUGAAGCUUGGGUAACCUACAGCCGUCAUAUCAAGUCUUUGGAGCACUUCCACAUAAGCUGCCUUUAGCACAUCCUGGGAAUUAACUGGCGUGAGCGGGUGCCUCACACUGAAACACUUGUAAAGACCAACUGCAGAAGUAUUGAGGCCAUGAUCACCCAGCGUCAGUUGCAGUGGCUGGGGCACGUGAUAAGGAUGCCCCCAUGUUGGCUACCCCGCAGAGUGUUAUAUGGCCAGCUACAUCAUGGUCAACGCUCAGCUGGAGGGCUGAAGAAGCGCAGUAAGGAUCAGAUGAAGAAUGCUUUAAGGAAGUGAAAGAUCAGACCCGAGGACCUGGAGGAUGUUGCUGCUGACCGUAACACUUGGCGACAGCUGUGUAGGGAUGGGGUUCGUAUUCUGAAGGUGGAAAAAACAACCAGAAGCCAGGAGAAAUGCAGCCAUGGUUGCCAUCACUACCACCACUACCACGUAUACAUGUCCCACCUGCAAUAGAGCUUGUGGGUCCAGGAUAGAACUGUAUAGUCAUCAAAGAUCUCACCGUUAAAGGAGUGGACGUCAUCAUCGGAUUCCGAUGGACAACCAAAGAGUGUGUGUCUGUCUUUGGUGGGGUGGGGGAGGUGUGUGUGUGUGUGUGUGUGUCUGUAUGUGUGAGUGUGUGUUUGUGUGUGUCUAUCUGUACAUGUGUCUCUGUGUGCCUGUCUGUGACUGUGUUCUUUGUUUAACAUUUCUAUUUCUGUAUCUCCCAGGUGAGCUGGAGUGUUUGUGAUCAUUCAGUAGGAAGAGGACAGGCUCUCCCUGGCCGCUGGGGCCCCUCUGCCCAUCCUCCAACAAGGAACAGCGUGGUGUGGGGGCAGAGGCCCA